AAUGGUGGAGGAACUACUCCAAUAAAAGAAGCAGCUACUUGGAUAAGCAAGAGUUGUGAAUAAAUGAAAAAAAAUCCAAAUAUGUAUUCUAUCCAUGAGUUCAAAACCGAUGCAAACAUGAUAAUUAUAAGUCAGAUUCAAGUUCAAAUUGACAGGAAAAGGUGUCAUGACAUGCAACGAGUGGUUUCUAUAGAACAUGGUGCGGUUUUACUUCAAAGUCAUUCAAAUGCAUCAGAGAACUAAUAACUCAUUUAGUGAAUCAUCAUGCUUACAAGGUUACCUCCUCAUUAUCCCCUAUGCAUAUACAACAAGCCUAAAUGAAACACUCUAGACUCGAUCCUAAAUGUAAUGCAACUACAUGAACACUCUGUUUUUGUGAAAUCUUUUUCUGAA
rnacentral:sRNA from 1 species